CAACGAUGAUGCCUCUCCGAUCUGGUGGAGAAAGGGCGAGCUAAUUGGCUGUAGCGCCUUUGGCCAAGUCUACAUGGGGAUGAAUAUAGAUUCUGGGGAGCUUCUCGCUGUAAAGCAGGUUUUGCUCGGGACUAGCAAUGCCUCCAAGGAGAAGGCCCAUGUUCAUGUAAGUGAACUUGAAGAAGAGGUGAAGCUCUCAAGAACCUAUCACAUCUGAAUAUUGUCGUAAGUUCUCUCCUUCUUAUCUUUGUUUUGAUUUAAUUGGUCCUUUUCCCUAUACUUAAAGUCAAAAUUACAUCUCUUAUUUGAUGUAUUUCCAUCAGAGAGAUAUUUGGGAACUGGGAGGGAAGAAGUGACCUUAAAUAGAUUAUUGGAGUUUGUACCGAGCUAUUCCAUUUCAUCACUGCUGAGAAAAUUUGGGUCAUUACCUGAAGCUGCAUGUGCCAUAGCUGCAUGUUUGGUUCACAUAACUGAUAAGUGAUAACUAAUUGCUAGUCCUGUUAGGGACCUCUUAUGUUUUAAGCAGGUUAUAAAAAUGUAUAUCAAGCAACUAUUGUAGGGACUGGAAUAUCAUCAUAAGAAUGGAAUUAUUCACAAACAUAUAAAGGUCUAUUUACAUGUUCUUCUUA